ACGUUGCCCAAUGAGAGGAUUUAAUAUCUAGAGAGCACGGGUCAUCUUUAUUUUUGGCAUAGCCUUCUUCAUCUGACGAGCGCGCUCUCUUGCUUCUUUCUUGCGAGUAACCUCUGCAUUGAGCUUUGCUUCAGUCUCCUCUAGCAUCUUUUUCCUCUCUGCCUUCUUUUUCUGCAAGGCUUCUUGUCUUGCAUUUUGAAGUUCUUUGUAGGCCUCUUGGGCUGCUUUCGAUCUGGCUGCCUCUGUUUUAGAUUUAGCCUGGGAACUCAACUUGUACCUCCCAAUAAGAUCAAUGUAAUAAGGAACCAGUGCUACCAAUCUAGUCAUAUCAGCCAUGUUGUUGGCAUCAGCCA
rnacentral:misc_RNA from 1 species